rnacentral:rRNA from 1 species
UGGGGAAUCUUGGACAAUGGGGGCAACCCUGAUCCAGCCAUGCCGCGUGAGUGAUGAAGGCCUUAGGGUCGUAAAGCUCUUUCGCCUGUGAAGAUAAUGACGGUAGCAGGUAAAGAAGUCCCGGCUAACUCCGUGCCAGCAGCCGCGGUAAUACGGAGGGGACUAGCGUUGUUCGGAAUUACUGGGCGUAAAGAGUUCGUAGGCGGACUAGCAAGUUAGAGGUGAAAUCCCAGGGCUCAACCUUGGAACUGCCUUUAAAACUGCUAGUCUAGAGACCGGAAGAGGUUAGGGGAAUACCUAGUGUAGAGGUGAAAUUCGUAGAUAUUAGGUGGAACACCAGUGGCGAAGGCGCCUAACUGGUCCGGUACUGACGCUGAGGAACGAAAGCGUGGGGAGCAAACAGGAUUAGAUACCCUGGUAGUCCACGCCGUAAACGAUGAGUGCUAGAUGUUGGGAUUUUCGGAUUUCAGUGUCGCAGCUAACGCAUUAAGCA